rnacentral:rRNA from 1 species
AUUGAACGCUGGCGGCAGGCUUAACACAUGCAAGUCGAGCGGAGAGAGGUAGCUUGCUACUGAUCUUAGCGGCGGACGGGUGAGUAAUGCUUAGGAAUCUGCCUAUUAGUGGGGGACAACAUUUCGAAAGGAAUGCUAAUACCGCAUACGUCCUACGGGAGAAAGCAGGGGAUCUUCGGACCUUGCGCUAAUAGAUGAGCCUAAGUCGGAUUAGCUAGUUGGUGGGGUAAAGGCCUACCAAGGCGACGAUCUGUAGCGGGUCUGAGAGGAUGGUCCGCCACACUGGGACUGAGACACGGGCCAGACGCCUACGGGAGGCAGCAGUGGGGAAUAUUGGACAAUGGGCGGAAGCCUGAUCCAGCCAUGCCGCGUGUGUGAAGAAGGCCUUAUGGUUGUAAAGCACUUUAAGCGAGGAGGAGGCUACUUUAGUUAAUACCUAGGGAUAGUGGACGUUACUCGCAGAAUAAGCACCGGCUAACUCUGUGCCAGCCGCCGCAGUAA